rnacentral:tRNA from 1 species
AAGUAAGAAGCGAUUAAUUGCAGUCAGUUUCGACCUGCCCUUAGGUAUAUACCAUACCCUUACUUU